UACGAAGGGUGCAAACGUUGCUCGGAAUUAUUGGGCGUAAAGCGCACGUAGGCGGCUUUGCAAGUCCCAUGUGAAAUCCCACGGCUCAACCGUGGAAGUGCAUGGGAAACUGCAGAGCUUGAGUACUUAAGAGGAUCGCGGAAUUCCCGGUGUAGAGGUGAAAUUCGUAGAUAUCGGGAGGAACACCGGUGGCGAAGGCGGUUCUCUGGGCCGUUCCUGACGCUGAGACGCGAAAGCUAGGGGAGCGAACAGG
rnacentral:rRNA from 1 species